rnacentral:rRNA from 1 species
AGAGUUUGAUCAUGGCUCAGGACGAACGCUGGCGGCGUGCUUAACACAUGCAAGUCGAACGAUGAACCACUUCGGUGGGGAUUAGUGGCGAACGGGUGAGUAACACGUGGGCAAUCUGCCCUGCACUCUGGGACAAGCCCUGGAAACGGGGUCUAAUACCGGAUACUGACCCGCUUGGGCAUCCAAGCGGUUCGAAAGCUCCGGCGGUGCAGGAUGAGCCCGCGGCCUAUCAGCUUGUUGGUGAGGUAAUGGCUCACCAAGGCGACGACGGGUAGCCGGCCUGAGAGGGCGACCGGCCACACUGGGACUGAGACACGGCCCAGACUCCUACGGGAGGCAGCAGUGGGGAAUAUUGCACAAUGGGCGAAAGCCUGAUGCAGCGACGCCGCGUGAGGGAUGACGGCCCUCGGGUUGUAAACCUCUUUCAGCAGGGAAGAAGCGAAAGUGACGGUACCUGCAGAAGAAGCGCAGGCUAACUACGUGCCAGCAGCCGCGGUAAUACGUAGGGCGCGAGCGUUGUCCGGAAUUAUUGGGCGUAAAGAGCUCGUAGGCGGCUUGUCACGUCGGUUGUGAAAGCCCGGGGCUUAACCCCGGGUCUGCAGUCGAUACGGGCAGGCUAGAGUUCGGUAGGGGAGAUCGGAAUUCCUGGUGUAGCGGUGAAAUGCGCAGAUAUCAGGAGGAACACCGGUGGCGAAGGCGGAUCUCUGGGCCGAUACUGACGCUGAGGAGCGAAAGCGUGGGGAGCGAACAGGAUUAGAUACCCUGGUAGUCCACGCCGUAAACGGUGGGCACUAGGUGUGGGCGACAUUCCACGUCGUCCGUGCCGCAGCUAACGCAUUAAGUGCCCCGCCUGGGGAGUACGGCCGCAAGGCUAAAACUCAAAGGAAUUGACGG